AGAGUUUGAUUAUGGCUCAGGAUGAACGCUAGCUACAGGCCUAACACAUGCAAGUCGAGGGGUAGCGUGAGGGAAGCUUGCUCCCUGACGACGACCGGCGAAUGGGUGAGUCACGCGUGUCCAACCUGCCCCGUGCCCGGGGAUAGCCCUUGGAAAUGAGGAUUAAGACCCGAUAUGUGGCGCUUCCGCAUGGCGGCGCCAUGAAGCAGGCACGGGAUGGGGACGCGUCGGAUUAGCUUGACGGCGGGGCAACGGCCCACCGUGGCGACGAUCCGCAGGGGUUCUGAGAGGAAGGUCCCCCACACUGGCACUGAGACACGGGCCAGACUCCUACGGGAGGCAGCAGUGAGGAAUAUUGGUCAAUGGGCGGGAGCCUGAACCAGCCCAAGUAGCGUGCAGGACGACGGCCCUACGGGUUGUAAACUGCUUUUCCGGGAGGAUAAAGUGAGCCACGCGUGGUUCAUUGCAGGUAUCCCGGGAAUAAGGACCGGCUAAUUCCGUGCCAGCCGCGGC
rnacentral:rRNA from 1 species